GCGGCCUGGGAGCAGAGGCGCUGGCCCGGCCCUGCAUUUCCGCCCCGGCUCGGCCCUCCCCGACGGCCCCGGGUGCCGGCAGGACUGAAAACUGGAUAUUUGGUCCCCAUGGACUUUCUGGUCACCUUGUGAGGUGGACUUACUUUUUCUUGAGUCAUGUGGAAGACUCUGAAGUCAGAAGUUUUUAAGACUCUCAGGCUUACUGUGGAUCUGGAUUCUAAGGCAACACUUCCUUGAAGAAACAAGCUUACAGCUCUGCCCGGAUGGCCCUCGUCUUCGUGUACGGCACCCUGAAGCGGGGUCAGCCCAACCACAGGGUCCUGCGGGACGGCGCCCACGGCUCCGCAGCCUUUCGGGCGCGCGGCCGCACGCUGGAACCCUACCCGCUGGUGAUCGCGGGGGAGCACAACAUCCCGUGGCUGCUGCACCUGCCCGGCUCGGGGCGCCGCGUGGAGGGCGAGGUCUACGCGGUAGACGAGCGGAUGCUGCGCUUUCUGGACGACUUCGAGAGUUGCCCGGCCCUGUACCAGCGCACGGCGCUGCGGGUACAGCUGCUGGAGGACCGGGCCCCGGACGCAGAGGAGCCGCCGGCGCCCUCCGCGGUGCAGUGCUUCGUGUACAGCAGGGCCACCUUCCCGCCCGAGUGGGCCCAGCUUCCGCACUAUGACAGCUACGACUCCGAGGGGCCGCACGGGCUGCGCUACAACCCCCGGGAAAACAGAUAAGGGGGACGGGCAGGGUGGGCCUAGGUUUGAGAGCCUUGGGGCUCCAAGAUGCGCCCAGCCCAUGCUGGGUGAAGGCGGAAGCAGAACAGGGCCCUUUCCAACUAAUCUGCGGGAAAAGGAACCAAUCUUUCAGUGGCAGCUGAUUUUACAAAUAAUGUUGAGAUACGAAUAGCAAGGUGCUUCCCUCCCAUCUUUCUACCUGACAUUUGUUCCAGGAAUCAUGCAAAAAGUUCCUCAUCGGAGUCUUAUUCCCUGGCAUGACUUCAUGGAUGCUUUGUGCACAGCAUACUAGAGAGUAAGCAACGCUUUUAAGGAAAGUACUUCCCAAAACACUGCAUUUGCAAAAUGAUGGAAUGAAUCUGGCCUUCUUUCUGCUCCACUCCCAGAUCAUUUGGGAGAAGUGCUGAGGGUCUUGGCACCAACCUAAUGCAAACGUGAAACAGGUCAACAACACACGAAAUCGAUUUUGCUGUUUGGUGGGGGUCAGUUAAGAAAGAACUGCAAAGAGCCGAAUCGUGCUGUGCCAUUAGCCAUCAUUUUGGAAGGAGAAGUCUGAGACCAGCAUGUCCUGCAGAGACACACACAGCCCUUACCGCGUCUCCAGGCUUGACAGAGACGGCCACCACCACGCCGGGCAUCGGGGAACGCAGAACACUGCUUGUGUCCUCAGUCGCUUUUUCCAGCAUAAAUUUGUUCAAUUCUGCGGCAAGUUUGGUUAAGAUAUUCACCUUGUACUUAAGGGAAAAACAAAACAAAACCAUAAAUGAGUUUAAAUGAACUUUUCCUCAAAAGUAGCAUUCAUUCUAAAUCAGUUUUUAGCUUUUAAAUUCAAAUUACAGUAACAGCCUUAAAUUCAAAUGGUUCUCAAUUGCUGCACACAUCAAAAUAUAUUUGUUUCUGUCAUAUAUUGAGCUAUUUCAGAAAUUUCUUGAAAUAAGGGCUAUUCCAGUUAUUAAAAUUAAUCAUUGAUAAAUAUCAUCCUAUAUCUUUAAGAAAAACAUCUCAAAACGUUAUAAAGAAAACUGAGAAUUUUACUUGUAUUCCCUUCACCACCUACAAACUUACCCCUAUCAAGGAAAAUCCCGUGAGCUGGGCAGGCCCAGGGGAUGGAGGAGGUGACAUGUGGACAGGCGCCAGUAGAUGGCAGCAGAUGGCUGUCGCAGCUUCCCACAGCCCUCCAAGAGCGGCUGUACUACGUAUCAGUAAGUUAAGACAAUGGGGUUCAGUGUUCAUUUUGGGCAAAAUACUAUUUAAAAUUCCAUAUUUUCAGUGACAGAAAAUGUUAUAUUCAUGACUGAAAAAGUUGGCUUUUCUUAAAGGCACUACAUAGUCUUUCUGAUGUAACAAGAUGGUUAGGAAAAGAUGCACGAUAAUGAGAAUGCCUUCUGCACUGAGAGACAAUAACAUCAAGAUGUUAUAAACACGGAUGGAAAAUACGCACAGACAAGUAUAUUCAUGGCACCUUCUGUAGGUGGCUCUCAAACAAUCGGGCAUAUUCAGGGCAGUUCAGUGAAGCAGAACAUUUCAAAAAAGAGAAUUCCUAUCCUCUCCGUGAAUAAAUCUAUGAGCCACAAUUUGGUCUAUCCAAACAGAAAAAAGAUAAAAUGGUUUGAGAAAGUGUCUCUCGGUGAAAUUGGAACCACCACCCAAAGGUUCUGGAUCCCUACCAGGUCUGAUUUCUCUUGGGUAAGAAAGCAGCAGCAGUGAGACAGCUCCAUUUUGUUCAAAAAAACCCUGCUGUAACUCAAAGCCUCCUGUGGGCAUCAUGAUGGCAGGGAUGCAAAAACAAAAUAUAAUUCCCCCUUUAAUUCUGCAUGGGGACGGCAGGAAUCUCUAAGUGCCUCUUCACAGGGCCUACUGAAAAGGGUGGGGGGAGAGCUUUGAUGGCCUAAGUUCCAAGUGGAUUUGCGACACUGUGACAGGUUGAAUAAUAACAUCUUUUGCAUGUUUCUUUACUCCUGAGCGUGUGUUUUGCAAUCAAGACAUAGAAGCGUCUGCCAGUUUCUGAAGGAUAUGAUCCUUAAGUGAAAUUACAGUGCAAAUAAAAGCUUUUUGCUCCUAUUAAAAUUCAUCUGAGUCAUAAGUGGUGAGGGAAAAAGCGAGGAGAGUGCGCGCUGCUGUCAGUCUAAUAAACAUUCUGGGCAGGGGGACUAUUUAUCAGUGAUGAAUUGUACCUCCAAGUCCUUCAUUAAAUCAAUGGGGGAGGGUGUGGAGGGACAGAGAGGACUAUAAUUGGACCAAAUUGCACAGUUUUCAUAUCUGUGCUGUCUGCCAUGGGGGAAAAAUCCAACAUCACUAGAGGCAUCAGAGUCAAAAAAAAAGUUACUUUUCUAGUUGGUAUCGCCCUGAGCUGCGCCUUCUGUGUGACUGACUUACGAUGUGCCUUGUUCAGUUUUCAGUGUAGCACACAGAUCUAUUUUUUUCUUGUUUUGCAGAAUUCGACUUCAAAAUGUGAAGCCUAAAUUCAGGAAAAGUAUCUUCAUACGUUGAGAAUAUGAUUUACCACAUUUCACCACAGUGGAUAUACUCCAAAACUAAGUUUAGUUAUAUCACAGAUCAGCCUGCAUAUGAACAAAGUGCUAAGAACAAAGCUUCAUUUCUCCCCAGAAAUUACAAGAUUCUGACGAACACUGGAUCCUUUUACUAUUUUUAUAAUUUUCAUCUUUCAGAUUCCUGUCUCUGUAGGACUCCUGCUUUGCUUGGAAAGAGAUGUAAAAGAGUCACAAACUCAAUGCCUUUAGAUGCAGUCUUUGUUACUGAUGAGAUGUUCCUUUUCCUUUUGUAUUUGUUUAUUGUUCUUAAAUCUGUUUGGGGGAUAAGUGACUUAUUGUAAUAGCAAGUAAAAAAUAACAACAGGGUAAACUCCUCCAGAGAGGCCUUGGUGCAAAUAGUUGGUUUAGAAAUGACCUUUCUGAAUAUAAAAAGAGAAGGCAGAGAGAGAUUCUCUUUUUAAGAUUACCUUUGAUGUUGUCCUGACCCCGUGAGUGUACCACACAAACACGCCUUCUUAAAACAACCUCUCAGCUGGCCUGUGCUGUGCUGCACAGGGCGCGUGCCGGGAUGGGGCCCAAGCGGGGUGCAGCAUAUGGGCCCAUCAGAAUGAACUGCCUGGUGAGAACCGUAAAAGCUUUUUGAUGCCCCAGAAAAGAAGUCAUUUAAGAAUGUACACCAGGGCUUUCCAAGCUUCUGAUCAAAACUGCUAUUUACUGGCAUCUCUGGAUUCUUUGGGGGCACAGCCAGCCAAUGCUUUGUGAGACUUCAGGAAUGUGCCCCUACCUGGACCGUGGGGUACAAGCUCAGUUUCACCGUGGGCAUUUAACUAUUCCUCAUGGGUUGUGCGAAACUCCCUUAGAGUUUUGAUUUUAAGUUUUUGUGGUUGUUUUUAAGAAGAUAAAUCACAAGGUUGAUGUUUGAGGGUAGGAAUCCAAGACUCUGAAGGCUUGUGGACAGGACAGAGUAGCAGGAUCCCAGAAGCAGCCAGGUUUUCCCGCUGCCUGGGUAGGAUGAGGGAACAUGCCAGCAUGGGUGACAGGCAGCUGCCUGUGGGUGGGGCUGGGCUGCCAGGGAGCCAGAAGAUGAUUCGCUCCAGUGAGCUCGGGGCUGGUCAGUGUGUGGAACUUCACUCCGCUGGCUUAGGAAGGUGUUCUCCAGACCACAUAGCCAAAUGAAAAAAAAAUGUUCUCGAAAAACAGCUCACCACGUAAGUGAGAACAGAACAGUUGCUCUCUGGGCUUGACCUGGUGGGACUCCUCAACCCACACACGAGAGUAAUGGGAGGGAAUGAGGUGUUAUCUAAUGACCCAAUGACAGAGAAGCGGCCCCAGCCCGGAUCUCUAAGCAAAUUAAUUUUAUGGCCUCUGCAGUGUGAAACCAUGUCUAACAAGAAAAUUUCUCCCAAAAGUUUAAAAGAAAGAAAGAAAAGGAAUCGCAGCUGACAUGAAAGGGUCAGGAGGAAAGCCACAAGAGCUGGACAAUGACAAGAAACGCCAGUGGGAUUGUUUUUAAAACUGACACGCAGCUCUUCCAUGGACCUGAUUAAAGGCUGGGGGCUGAGAGUGGUUGCUGCAGCAGGAGGAGGAGGCUAGUCACAGUCUGGGUGAGAGAGGGAUGUUAUCACUGGACCUCAUUAAGAAAAGCAUCCUGCAACUGGGCAUGUGUGCCUGCACCCCAGCACCCCAGAACUCAGCACCCCAAAGACAGCAAAGAAUCACCCACUUUGAGACACACUCCACUUUGACGGAUACACAGAAUACCACCCUGGAGGCUUCUGUAUUUGUACAGUACAUGCACCUCCUUACAGCGUUAAAUCCACCCACCUGUUUCCACAGCCUGUAGAAGUACCAGUAAUUUAAUUCUGCAGACCCCAUGUGCUAAAUGUUGCAAUGAUCCGAGGUCUGUGACUGCUCCCGAGGUGAGCACUUGCAGUUUGCUGUACAGUUUUCAGCUGUGAUUUCAGAGCCUCCAGUGCCACUGUCAACCUCCAUUCCUCUUCAAGUGGGCUCACUUCCAGUUUCCAUUUAUGAGUCAUUCUUCCAGUAACAAUUAGGACACGUACAGUUGACUGACUGUUAAUGUUCUUUCAUGUCCUCAACUGUUGGCCAUCUCAGUCAAUACCAACUCAAGGGCAGGUGCUAUCUUUGACUGUAAAUCACUGUGCAUCAGAAAUCUUGAAGCACUGGCCAAAUACUGUCCAUGCACCCCUCACUAAGUAAGGGGACAGACACUUCUUCAAAGAUUAGGCUCUCUUCCUAGUCAAGGUUUUACACCUUCUGGCCCCAAAGGUCUUCAACAUUAAGCUCUGUCUUCAUUUCCGCAGCGUGGCAGUGAGAGCAACACUCAAAUAUUCCCCUAAAGGUCUACUGUCCUAACUCAGAGCUGGGGAAAUAGUGUCAGUGUUUUUAAAGUGAUGGAAAGGGCGAAAUGCAAAAAUGAUGCAUCUUUAAAAACACUGGCUGUCGGAAAAGCAGAGAAAAACUAGAUAUAAAUUGAAACAGUUCAGUGGAAUGAGACUUAUAAUUCAACCACAUUCUAUUCUCCUAAAUUCUUUGUAGGGUACACAAUUAUCACUUGAGGAAAAACAUAGCAAGGUUCGGAGCCAUACAAAAUAAUUUCCCUCUAGUUCUGCACAGGGCCCAAUCGCCUGAUAUCUGAGCUACACCACCACCACAAAUCUCCAAGACACAACAGUGACAAUACACAGAAUUGAAGCCUACGGCUGUCCUUCCUUUGGAGGUGCAGCCCAGGCAAAGGAGCGGACGUGAACAGGCAGCAGCUAAGGCGCAGGGCAAACCACAGCCUCCUACAGCUGCAGUCACUGGAGCAGCCUGUUAGCAUAAUGCUGUGACAACUCCAUCAGUGCAGUCUCAAGGUAGCUGUCAAUCAGGAUGCAUCAUUUAAUCCAACAGCACUCGGAGGACUUUCUCCUACAACCCACAUGACAGCAUAUCUACAGCUCUAUUUAUAUCAGCGCCCAGUUGUGUUUACAGUGUUGUUGUAAUUAGAAAAGAUGCAACAGGCAGCAAUAUUAUUGAGAUUUCCAUUUUGUAGUAUUGCCCUGUAAAGUGUGAUCUUGCUUCACAGAGUCAUGCUAAAUGACAAAAGGCUAUUUUCUUCAAUCUCCCAGCUCAGACAGCACUUCAUUUGCAGCUAUCUAUAAUUAGAUUAAUGGUGUAGUGCGGUACAAAGCAGGCCCACUUCACAUCAGAUAGCAUAUGAAUUAGGACAAACACUUAUUUCAAUUCCAGGCAGAGAAAGCAAUGACUGGGGUAUUUAGCAUACCCUUUAUGGUGGAAUGAGAUGUUAAUUGUGUACCAUUACCUCUAAACUGCUUGCUUGUUGUAUAAAUCACUGUGCUAAUUGAUGCAGAGAUAGAAAUGUAGCCACAGGCGAGAAAGCAAAGGAAUGAGAGCUGAAGAUGGUGGAUAAAGGAUUAUCGAGUAAAACCAUAUGGAGAUGAGGUUCCUUUGAAACCUUUGCUUUCUGCCCAUGAGCAGGAUUUCAUCAUAUACAGCAAAACUCUGGUACAAGAAAAAUUAAUUUUACAUUCCUUUUUAAAAACACAAAUUCCUUGUAGAAGUUCUGGCUGCCAGAAAUCCAAAUAAUAGGUAUGUGGAAUUCAUCUUAAUAUACAUUUAUAAAAACAUGGAAUGUAUAGUUUUCAAUAGUCAGAGCUCCUCAUCUGGGUUUUUGGCUCAUGGGUUAAUAAGUAACACUUGUAAACUAUACCUGAAGCAGAUGUUUCUGACCCAUCCACAGGGCAAAAACAAAUUCUUUCCCAAGGCUUGAAGUUGUUCUUUUAGACAAAAAAAAAAAAAACCCACAAAACAAAAAACCCACACCACCACUAUGCUGGCUUAGUCUGUUAUAGACUCUAAUUGUGUAGAAACAUUUAUUCAGGAUGUGAAUCCAACAGAACAGAAUCAUUUUUAUCUACCAUUAAAACAACGAUUUUAACACCAUCACCAAACACUGAAAUCUGACUAUUCCAACUUGAGGUAUUCUUCCUUGUUUUUCUAAAACUAGCAAAAAAAUAAACAGAAGCAAGUAGUAAUUUAAAAGCUUCCGUUUUAAAAUCUCUGAAUGUUACUCUUCCCUUUUAAAAUGUCUUGUUCUGCACUCAACAACUCUUAAUAGGGUAAAAACGAGUGUCUCAAAAGCGCACAUAUAGAAAUCAAAUGUUUCAUCCCACAAGUCAAACCGUCCGUGAUCCACAGAUAAACGUGCCCCUGGGAAGUUCAUAAAUCAAGUGCAUGUGUCCUGAGUACAUGCUCACGUUUUUUUACUAGCAAGGCAACACUGAGGUGCAGAUUAGUGCUGUGGACCUUCUCACAAAUUCAGCUGCUUAGUAAUUAGCACUGUUACAACAUUUUAUGCAGAGAACAAACUCAUAGGGUCAGUUAGCAGCUCCAGUUCUCAGCCUCACGGUAACAGUUAACAUAUCCAUCUACUGGCAAGUGUACAUUUGAGAAACACUGUUAUCAUUCAGCAUUGUGAAAUAUGAACACCACACUAACUUGCAAGAAAAUAAAACAAUGUUUCAAGAAACUAGAAAGUCUAGUUCAAGUUACCAGGACUGAAACUUGGGAGGGGAAAGUCCAGAGCUGCUUUUUUGGGGGCCACAGCUGUCACCUUUCACUGUACAGAGUGGCUCUUAUUAUACAUCUGACUGCUGAACUAAGGACACCUGGAUCGCAACUGCAAGCGUUUAUGGUUUAGGUUAUUAUGCUAAAUAAUAUUAAAAACAAACAAAAUCCACAAAGAAACAUCAAGGACUCUCAGGAUGGAAACCAACGUCAGCACAAUAAAUAGCGUGAACUACUCUGCAACAACCCCCACCCCCCAAGCAUCAAGGCAACAUAAAUAGAAAGGAGAGAAGAUGUGGAAACAGUGUAAAGCCCUGAGUCCUGGUCAUUAAUCACUUGUUUAGACCAUUUAAACUAGAGCCUUACAGCCUGCAGCCAAAACCAACAUGCCUCAGUGAAGCUGGUGUUAACAGAAGAAAAUAUAUGGUUUCUGAUAUUACGUCCCAGUUCCUCAACAUUUGCUCCAACUGAAAAAGGCAGUUAAACACAAAGUAAAUCAUCCAGUUAGCCUGGCUGUUUAGUGACACACAAUUGAUAAUGUCAAUACAUUGCAGCGACAUAAUGCGUCACUUUCAACACUCAUCUGCUGCUAUUUAUGAAUCAAUCUGUACUCAAGGUUUUAUUGUGUUACUGGUAGGUGGUUUUUGGAGUUAAGUCUUUUACCGGACCAAUGAAUGUGCCACAAGAAGGCUAACGGCAGUGAACAGCAAUCUCAUUUUUCGAGGGAAAAAUUAACACAAAUAGGAGUGGGAAGAAAAUCCCAACAAAACUGAAGAAUAAAAAUAUCUGACGCCCAUUCAGCAACUCAUUUUUCGAACAUCCUGCAAAACUGGGGAGAGUUUCCUUAGAGAAAACCAUCUUAAGGCUAAUCAUCAACAGCAUUGAAGGAAUGGGUAAGUCUGUGUGUAUCUCGGGCUUGCUUCUGAAAGACGAUCUCCCCUGGAGGGAAGAAUAUGGGGUUGUCAAUAAUACAAAAAUCUAGCCUCA